UAUCGAAGUCACAGGACAUGUUAUGUGGUCCUCCCACUACGACUAGUCGGGAAAGCAUGCUGUUCAUUAGGGUACAGAUUAAAUCAAUUAUGAUAUCUUCACUGGGUGGUGAAAGAACACGGUUAUGAGCUCAAUUGAUGCUCAUUUCCAAUAAAUAUCGAGGGUCUUAUACUGGUGACAUGAUCAUCGAUGCUUGGUGGUCGUUGGACAAAUAAAAAUAAUCUUGUCCUUAAUAAUCUCGUCAUGUAGACUGGCCUACCCGCACUCUGUGAAUUGUUGGCUAAAGCGCAUGUGCCAACACCAGAGCCGUUGUAACACACUUAGGCGUAGUGGGUGCGGAGUCAGGUGCAGGAGACAGAAAGUUCUGAAUAGCGCUUUAAACAGCACCGGGCUAAACAGUAUAUACAACGAAACUGAGCGUCAUAAAACAAAAUGCCCAAAACAGGAAACAAACCAAGAUUACACUACCACACAUACAAAGUGGGAAUAAACAAGCCUGCACGGAGAGCAGGCGGGCCUACCGACUUAAAUAGCCAAACUAAAAGUCUAAACGAGAAACAGGUGAAACAAAUCAGACCAAACCAGACCCGGAGGACACGGCGCAGGGCGAUCCGGAUGGAGGCGAUGAAAAUCCCUCAACAUUGACAAAUCCAAGAUGUCCCCCACCGGUACCCAGCACCUCUCCUCCGGACCAUACCUCUCCCAGUCCACAAGGUACUGCAGGCCCCUCACCCGGUGUCUCGAGUCCAGAAUAGCACAUACUGUGUACGCCGGAGACCCCCGAUGUCCAGAGGGGGCGGAGGGACCUCCGGCACCUCACCUUCUUGCAGGGGACCAGCUACCACCGGCCUGAGGAGAGACACAUGAAACGAGGGGUUAAUACGAUAAUAGGAAGGGAGUUGUAAUCUAUAACACACCUCGUUUAUCCUCCUCAGGACUUUGAAGGGCCCCACACACUGCGGCCCCAGCUUCCGGCAGGGCAAGCGGGGGGGUAGGUUUCAGGUCGAGAGCCAGACCCUGUCCACCGGUACGAACACGGGGGCCUCACUGCGGUGGCGGUCAGCGCUCCUCUUCUGCCGUCCACCUGCUUGCUUGAGGGAUUCCUGGACAACCCUCCAGGUCUCCUUGGAUCGCUGCACCCACUCCUCCACCGCAGGAGCUUCGGUCUGACUCUGAUGCCACGGCGCCAGGACCGGCUGGUAGCCCAACACGCAUUGGAAUGGUGACUUGUCCGUGGAGGAGGGGCGGAGUGAAUUCUGGGCUAACUCCGCCCAUGGUACGUACCUAGACCACUCCCCUGGCCGGCCCUGGCAAUACGACCGCAGAAACCUACCCACCUCCUGGUUCACUCUCUCCACCUGCCCAUUACUCUCGGUGUGAUAACCAAAGGUCAAGCUGACCGAGACCCCCAGACGUUCCAUAAACACCCUCCACACUCGGGACGUGAAUUGGGGACCCCGAUCAGAGACGAUAUCCUACGGCACCCCUUAGUGCUGGAAGACGUGGGUAAAUAGAGCCUCCGCAGUCUGUAGGGCCGUAGGGAGACCGGGCAAUGGGAGGAGACGGCAGGACUUAGAAAACCGAUCCACAACAACUAGAACCGUGGUGUUUCCCUGAGACGGGGGAAGAUCGGUAAGGAAGUCUACCGACAGGUGAGACCACGGCCAUUGUGGAACAGGGAGGGGCUGUAACUUCCCUCUAGGAAGGUGCCUAGAAGCCUUACUCUGGGCGCACACCGAACAGGAAGAGACAUAGAACCUAACAUCCCUAGCCAAGGCGGGCCACCAGUACUUCCCCCUAAGACUCCGCACCGUCCUCGCCACACCAGGAUGACCCAAAGAAGGUAGUGUGUGAGCCCACCGAAUCAUUUGAUCACGAACACCAAGAGGCACGUACUUACGACCUGUAGAACAUUGUGGAGGUGCAGGUUCCACUCGUAACGCCCUCUCAAUGUCCGUGUCCACCUCCCAUACCACCGGUGCCACCAGCCUAGAGGCUGGAAGGAUGGGAGUAGGAUCGAUGGGCCAAUCCUCCGUGUCAUAUAGACGGGACAGCGCAUCGGCCUUAGUAUUCAGGGAACCUGGUAUAUACAAGAUGGUAAACCUAAAUCUGGUGAAGAACAUGGCCCACCUUGCCUGACGCGGAUUCAGUCUCCUAGCUGCCCGGAUAUACUCCAGAUUCCGGUGGUCAGUCCAGAUGAGAAAAGGGUGCUUAGCCCCUCAAGCCAGUGUCUCCACACCUUCAGAGCCUUUACCACAGCUAACAACUCCCGGUCCCCCACAUCAUAGUUACGCUCCGCCGGACCGAGCUUCUUCAAAAAGAAAGCGCAGGGGCGGAGUUUCGGUGGCGUACCCGAACGCUGUGAUAGCACGGCACCCACCCCAGCCUCGGACUCGUCCACCUCCACUAUGAACGCUAAAGAAGGGUCCGGGUGCGCCAACACGGGCGCAUCUGUGAACAGUGCCUUCAACCGAUUGAAAGCUCUGUCAGCCUCUGCCGACCACCGCAAACGCACCGGCCCCCCCUUCAGCAGUGAGGUAAUGGGGGCCGCUACCUGGCCAAAACCCCGGAUAAACCUCCGGUAGUAAUUGGCAAACCCUAAAAACCGCUUCUCCUGAGGUCCAGUUUCGUGAAAAACAGCGCCCCGUGAAAUGAUUCCACUGCCGUAACGAUGAGAGGUAGCGGGUAACUAAACCCCACUGUGAUGGAAUUGAGACCUCUAUAAUCAAUACACGGACGCAAACCUCCCUCCUUUUUUUCAGAAAAAAGAAACUCGAGGAGACGGGAGAAAUGGAGGGCCGUGACAGAGAUUCCGUGACAUAUGUCUCAGAGAUUCCGUGACAUAUGUCUCCAUAGCCAACGUCUUCUCCUGUGACAAUGGGUGCACGUGACUCUUGGGAAGCGCAAUGUUUACCUGGAGGUUUAUCGCACAAUCCCCCUGUCGAUGAGGUGGUAAUUUAGUCGCCUUCUUCUUACAGAAAGCGAUAGCCAAAUCGGCAUAUUCAGGGGGAAUGCGCAGUGGAAACCUGGUCUAGACUCUCCACUGACGUGGCACCAAUGGAAACUCCCAUACACCUACCUGAACACUCCUCUGACCACCCCGGAAGAACCCCCUGUCUCCACAAAAUCCUGGGAUUGUGACUGGCCAGCCAAGGAACCCCCAGCACCACUGGAAACGCAGGUGAAUUGAUAAUGAAGAGACUAAUCCGCUCCCUAUGAUCCCCCUGCGUCACCAUGUUCAGUGGAACCGUGGCAUCCCUGACCAGCCCUGACCCUAAUGGCCGGCUAUCUAGGGAGUGCACGGGGAAGGGGGGGAUCUAUCGGCACCAACGGAAUUCCCAGCUUGAGGGCGAGUCCGCGAUCCAUAAAGUUCCCAGCUGCACCUGAAUCGACUAGCGCCUUAUGCUAGGAAGAGGGGGAAAAAUCAAGGGAAAAAAUAUAUACAAACAUGUGACCUACAGGGGGUCUGGGUGAGUUUGAUGCUGACUCACCUGGGGUGACCGAGAAGUGUUUUGCCUGCCCUCUCAACUCCCAGAAGGACUCCUCCAGCACCGGUCGGACACGUGUCCUCUCCGACCACAGCUGGUGCAGGAGGAGCCUCCUCCUCCGGUACCCCUCGAAGCAGCCCCCCUAACUCCAUAGGAGCGGGAGGGCUAGGAGGUGGAACUGACAGGACCCUUUCUGAACGCCCGCAGGCAGCCAGCCGAAUAGACAUGUCUAUCAGUUCGUCUAGGGAGAGAGUGGUGUCCCGGCAAGCUAGCUCCCUGCGGACGUCCUCCCGGAGGCUGCAACGGUAGUGGUCCAUCAGGGCCCUGUCGUUCCACCCGGCCCCAGCAGCCAAGGUCCGGAACUCCAACGCAAAGUCCUGCGUGCUCCUUGUCUCCUGCCUAAGGUGAAAUAGUCGCUCAGCCGCCGCUCGGCCCUCCGGAGGGUGGUCGAAUACAGCCCGGAAACGGCGGGUGAACUCUGGAUAAUGCUCAUUCGCCGAGUCUAGGCCAUUCCAGACAGCAUUGGCCCACUCCAGAGCUCGGCCCGUCAGGCAGGAGACGAGGACGCUCACACUCUCCUCCCCCGAGGGAGCCGGCCUCACGGUAGCCAGGUACUCCCUCGGAGGCGCAAUACGAAGUGCGCUGGAGCCGGACACUGGGGGUGGAGUAGGUGGACUCAUGGGAGGAACCGGGGGUGAAGUGGGGAGACCACUCCUCUCCCAUCAGUCCAUUCUCUCCAUCAUCUGGUCCAUCGCUGACCCAAUCCGAUGGAGGAUAGUGGUGUGAUGGAGAACGCGUUCCUCCAUCGAUGGAAGGGGGGUGGCCGCUGCUCCUGCUGACUCCAUCGGUGGUGCCCGCUUCUAUAACACUCUUAGGCGUAGUGGGUGCGGAGUCAGGUGCAGGAGACAGGCUAGCCUUAAGAAGCUUUUGGGAAACCGGGCCCAGGUUUCUAAUGUUCAGUUCCUGCCCAUAUCUACCACUAGAAUACCUUGUUAUGUGAUCGCUAUCUCUCUCUCCACUGCUCAGGUACCAGGCCAACAUAGAGAAGAUUGACUAUGAGGACCAGAAGGUUCUGAUCCACUACCGUCAGUGGAGCCACUGCUAUGACGAGUGGUUUGGCUGGACCAGCCCCUACCUGAGACCCCUGGAGCGGAUCCAGCUGAGGAGAGAGGGUCUGCAGGACAACCAGCCCAGGCCCACCCCGGUGAGGGAGAAUAGAACUCACACCCAGUUGAGUUUCUGUCCGACUACAUUGCAGACGCCUGCUAGAUUUAAAACAGCAUGAGUGUUUCGGGCGAAUGAGAAAAUCUUAGCCUGUUGGGUAGACUGUCCCUACUACCCUGCUAAGGUCCUGGAAGUCAGAAGAGAUGGUUCCUAUACAGUGAAGUUUUUCGAUGGAGUCGUCAAGACCGUUAAGCCAACCAAAGUAAAGCCAUAUAAGCUAGAGAAAGUCAACACGAACUGAGGAAGAGGAGGGUGUCUCUUGGACAGAUGCCACCGCCAAAGAAGAAAAGGCCAGACACAAGCAAAGUUUUGGAGAGUAGGCUGGACUACACAGGGGAACUGGAACCUCCUGACCCGUUGACCCGAUUGCCUCAGCUCAAACAUCGCAUCAGACAGAUGGUCACAGACCUGGGCACCGUGCAUCAGAUGUCCCUCUGCUCCUCCAACACAUGAGUGCGCCACUGAGUUCAGCACUUCACCACAGAGACCUGGCUGGAGCAGGGCGUAGCAAGCAAGGCUACAGUACAAAUGAUGUGUGGGCAGGGUAGGGGAGUAACACAAACUGUCAUUAAUCAGUUAUUAUACGAGCAAAACUAUUGUAAUCAGAUUACAGAUACUUUUGAAAAACUACAUUACUUCUUGGAUUACUUUUCAAAUCAGAAAAAAAUACAUUAUGACACCUUUCAGUUUUCUUAAUGACAUUCAAUUCAGCAUUUUAAAAAAGGCGCAAGUUUAAGUUUGUUCCAACUGAGCAAGUCUGACCGGAUGUCAGAGACCACUAUGAUGACACACCAAAUGCAUUUGAUGGAUCCUUUUCUGUAUUCAGUCCAAAAGUAACUGAAAGUAAUCAGAUUGAUAAUGAGUUUAGAUAAUCCAAAAGUUACGUAACUGAUUACAAUUGUGGACAGGUAACUGUAACGGAUUACAUUUUUGAAAGUAACCUACAGUCCCCCAACCCUGUUGGGACAGAGACGUUAACAGGGGAUUCCUGACUGAGACACCUGCUACUACUGACGAUUCGAGAAUCAACAAUAUGAAAUGUCUGGCAACCUGCAUUCCUGCCACUGUGAAGCAGGAUGGAUAGGACAGGCUACUUUUCUGAAAUGUCUGGCAACCUGCAUUCCUGCCACGGUGAAGCAGGAUGGAUAGGACAGGCUACUUUUCUGAAAUGUCUGGCAACCUGCAUUCUUGCCACGGUGAAGCAGGAUGUAUAGGACAGGCUACUUUUCUGAAAUGUCUGGCAACCUGCAUUCUUGCCACGGUGAAGCAGGAUGGAUAGGACAGGCUACUUUUCUGAAAUGUAAGAAAAAUAAGAACAGAACAUAACCAUGUUCAACACUUUUAAUUUAGUUUAUUAAUUCGACCAUUUAAAAAAAAAAAAACACACAUAAAACUUAAAAGCCAUACAUGCACAUGAAACUUAGGUUUUUGAUUGUAAGUCAACCCCUCCUAAUAAUGUAGUUCUUGCAAUUAAAUGUAAAACAUGGUUAAUACUUUGUUUUUGCUAACAUAAAUAAUCCAUAUCCAACAGUGCUUUAUGAUUGGAUGGUUUUGCUGAAAGGUUAAAAUAAGGUUAAAAUAUAGACCACUGUAGGCUUUUUUUUCUACAGUUAAAUGUUUGUAUAACAUUACACAUGUUUGUUCAAUGUAAGCACAUAGGAUUACAUAUGUUUCAAAUGCAUAUUUUUGAUGAGUGUUUCAAUGAAAUGCAUUUGGAAAAAAUGGCUUAAUAAUGAUGUUUUAAGAUCAUAAAAAAUAAGGGUCACACUUUAUUUGGAUAGUCCGGAUUUUCCAUCUGUAGAUGCUCUACAGAUAGUAUGACCAUCUGUUGAUAAGCAACUGCUUGCUAAGGUUAGGUUUAGAAUAAGGUUAGCGUUAAGGGUAGGGUUAGUAGAUGGUUAGUUGAAAUGUUACUGAUAGUCUGUAGAGCAUCUACAGAUGGACUAUCCAAAAAGUCAUACAAAAAAACAAGUCAUUUUUAAAGGGAGGGGAAAUAUUUUCAUAUUUGCAAAUAUUGUCCUGUCUUUUGAAUGUCCAGAAUGUUCUUGAGAAUAGAUGGUAUCUUUCUAUAAAUGUUUCUUUCCUCAUAGAUAUUGACGUAGUAUAGAAUACAAAGUUAUUUAGAGGACAUUGCCAAUAUUAAUGCGUUUGCAAACAAACUAUAUUUUGUGAAUUUAAAUACUUUAAGAUAUUUCUCUUUGAUUGAAAUAUUUAGUUGUGAUGUUUGUUUUUUUGUUUCGUUUUUUGUUUUGUUUUGUUCUUAUUUCAUGUUUUUCCAUGCGGGCACUGUGCUCUUAUCCUUUUAUAUAUUCUGAUUCAGAAUUUUAUUUAUAAUUUUUUUGAUUGCAUCUUUGUAAUCAGUAAAGUAAUGGUAUGUAUAGCACGUAGUCCAUAGAGUAUAGGACUGUGUCACAGUAUAUUUAGUACUGAUAUACGCAGUACAUUGCCUGUGUACCCUUCCCUGGUGGGUAAAAACUAGAGGAUGUGUGUGUGCGUAUAUGUGUUGACUGGAGAGCAGUGGGGGAAAAGCAGAUGGAGCCAGCCCAGCAUAUGGCCCCACAGUGUGUAGUGAGAAGGCUCUGGAGUCCCUUAUGGUAGUGCCACCCAGAUUUUUAUAUUGGAAUUAAAGUGCAGACCUCUGCGUUUCCUUGUACCAUAUCGGGAAUAUUACUUUGGUUUCUUUCUAUUGUGCAUUUUCUUAAUCUUUGCAUGUGAAAUGGGUAUUUUAUUUAACUAGGCAAGUCAGUUAAGAAGAAAUUCUAAUUUACAAUGAUAGCCUACCCCAGCCAAACCCUAACGACCCUGGGCCAAUUGUGCGCCACCCUAUGGGACUCCCAAUCACGGCCGGUUGUGAUACAGCCUGGAAUCAAACCAGGGUCUGUAGUGAUGCCUCUAGCACUGAGAUGCAGUGCCUUAGACCACUGCGCGCCACUGGGCCCCAAAUUGACAUUUGACUUUGACCUGACCCAUUUCAGAAUGAUUUGUUUUCCCUUACUGUUUGUUUCAAUGGUUAAAUAAUACUUUAUACUUCAGCACAAAAGGUGCAUUUAAUUAUUAUUCCCCAAGUUGCUAGCAACAUUAGCUUACUACUGAUGGCAUUAGCUAUGCAGAUACUAAGCAUAACUGACAUGGAUUCAUUAAUUUGAAGUACCAGAGAUCUAUAAAAUCUUGCUAGCUACCGAGCGCACUGCCAGUAAGUUAUAUUCGCAACGAUGUUCACGCUGUGUGUUGGUUUCACUGCUUUGCUCCACCCGCUCACUUCUGGUGAGUUUUGCACUUGAGCUGUUUUAGUAAACGAAUCAACUACUCUCAUUAAGCUAACUUCCCAUAUUUUAAUUAACAGCCAUUUAAGCAGAAAUGUUAAUUUAUUGCACAUUCUAAUCAUUUAUUUAUUUAACUAGAAAAGUCAGUUAAAAACAAAUUCUAAUGUACAAUGAUGACCUACCACAGCCAAACCCUAACGACGCUGGGCCAAUUGUGCGCCGCCCUAUGAGACUCCCAAUCACCGUCGGUUGUAAUACAGCCUGGAAUCAAACCAGGGUCUGUAGUGACCCCUCUAGCAAAUUGACGUUUGAUGUGACCCAUUUCAGAAUGAUUUAUUUUCCCUUACUGUUUGUUUCAAUGGUUAAUAAUAUUUUAUAUUUCAGCUGUAUGUUGGCAGUGUCAGACUUAUCAAUGUCAGUUUUUUUUAAUGUAUUAGAUUCUGUCAUGAGAGGACUGAGAUUUUUUAAGAAAUAAUUAUUUAACAUUUCCAUGCAUGAAAAUAAACAUUUUUAUUUAUCUAAA